rnacentral:rRNA from 1 species
GAUGAACGCUGGCGGCGUGCCUAAUACAUGCCAGUCGAGCGAACGGACGAGAAGCUUGCUUCUCUGAUGUUAGCGGCGGACGGGUGAGUAACACGUGGAUAACCUACCUAUAAGACUGGGAUAACUUCGGGAAACCGGAGCUAAUACCGGAUAAUAUUUUGAACCGCAUGGUUCAAAAGUGAAAGACGGUCUUGCUGUCACUUAUAGAUGGAUCCGCGCUGCAUUAGCUAGUUGGUAAGGUAACGGCUUACCAAGGCAACGAUGCAUAGCCGACCUGAGAGGGUGAUCGGCCACACUGGAACUGAGACACGGUCAAGACUCCUACGGGAGGCAGCAGUAGGGAAUCUUCCGCAAUGGGCGAAAGCCUGACGGAGCAACGCCGCGUGAGUGAUGAAGGUCUUCGGAUCGUAAAACUCUGUUAUUAGGGAAGAACAUAUGUGUAAGUAACUGUGCACAUCUUGACGGUACCUAAUCAGAAAGCCACGGCUAACUACGUG